UGUUAAAAAUUUCGUCCAAUUUUAUUGUUAAAAACUGAUGUGAUUAACAAAAUAAUCAAACAAUGACAUGUAACAUGUCAUGUGUACCUCAUGUAGACAUAUAAAGAUCAAUUUUUAACAACAAAAAUGGAUAGAAUUUUCAACA
rfam:Gossypium raimondii Chr01_contig_1078, whole genome shotgun sequence.